UACAUGACUGUAUACGAAUUUAUACAUGACUGUCUACGAAUGUAAUAGUAAUACAUUUUGAAUAUUAAUGAUUAUACCGUUUCUAUAUUUUGAAUAUUUUGCAGGUCCUUUCCAUUUCACGCCCUCUCACUUUUCUCUGCAAUCUCUCUCUUCCUCCCCUUUCCUCCCUCCUCUGUAAAAAUUGAACGGCGUAUAAAUCGGCGGAUGGAUGCAAUGAAAACUCGCACAGGGAUCUGUUGGUGCUGCCUCGAAUGAGUAAUUGAGGAGAUGGAGAGUCAACCCGCACCUAGAAGCCUCUCACUAAACCUCCGCCGCCGUUCCUCUCAACAGCCAUCGCCGUCUUCAGGAGUUGAGGAGGUUAUUAGUUGUUGCUUACUAACUUCUGGAGUCCUAGGUUUCCCAUGCUUCAAAUAAGUGAUAACAGUGUUCUUUGUUGCCCGAUUUCUUGAGCUAAGGAGAGAGAACUAUUCCGAUUUUGAAAAAUUAAUUGAAAAAGCCAUAGGGCCGAUCGACUGAAUGAGAGCUUUAUGAGUUGCAAUCUUGUUGAUAUUGGUGCAUAAAAAUGAUUUAGGCAAUAGGAAUAAAGGCCUCAUAUCCAAAUUAUCACAUACCUGACCUUGCAUAAACCCCUAGUGAGCCAGUUUGAGCCCCAAAAGACUAAUUUCUUUGUUGAAAAUUUUGAAGUCCUUAUAUCAGCUUACUUAUUAUAUCCAUUUGUUGGCCUAUAUUUUCUUCCCUAGUCACUAACAUUAAAGUGCUAGCACAUUCUUGGGAGGGUAUUAUGGUGGCAAGAAAAAGAUGGAGGUUCUGGUCCAUUCAUUAGGUGGUAUUACUGAGAUACAAAGUGAGUGAAAAAUGUCCCUUCAAACGAAAAUAGAAUAAAAAGGCAGCCUUUCAAGAGUAAAAAAAAGCCAUGGCUAAAAAAAAUGGCAGCCUUUCAUAAGUAAAAACAGCCAAGGCUAGAAAAAAAUAAAAAGGCAGCCUUUCAUAAGUAAAAAAAGCCAAGGCUAGAAAAAAAAGGCAGCCUUUCAUGUUUAAAAAAGCCAAGGCUAGAAAAAAAUAAAAUAAAAAGGCAGCCUUUCUUGAGUUAAAAAAAGCCAAGGCUCGAAAAAAAAUAUUGAGCGAAAAAUAGAAAUGAUAAAAGAAUGCUCAAAAGAAUAAGUUGACAGAUGGUCGAAAAAUCUCAUGUUUGGGGUGUUGAGCUGUAAGAAAUUUGUACGCAGUGAGUGAGAUGUGAAAGGAGUUGUGAUGAAUGUGCUAGUAUUUUAAGAAUGGUGGUAAGCUACUUAACCAAAUAUUAUCCCACCUUUACCAAAAGCCCCGUUACAUCCCAAUGAAUAAGACCUUUUGAUUUGUGCAUCAUAUUGACUUGUGAGCAAUGAAUUUUGCUUGAUUUUGGGAGAAAGAUCUUAAGUGCAUAAAAUAAAGAUAGUCAGAAGAACUUCUCUUUAUGAAUUAGUGACGAUGGUUUGAGACUCCCAAGACACAACAUGAACUUAGAUUGAAGCAUGGGAUGCCUAGUUCUUAGGGAAUUAGUUCGUGUACAAUUCUUGUUCUAAAGUUUUACCCGCGAGUGAAUUCGGGGUCGGCCUAAUUUCCCUACUGAUUCAUAUGGUUUGGCGUGACUUGAGGCAGAGGAUUAUCUAAUAUAUCUUUAUACAAUGGAAUGGGGGGUAGCGUAUUACUGCUCGAAGCCAAUUUUGACCACUCCGAUAUCAAGUGUCUCUCAGUUCAUACUAAAGCCAUCAAUGAAGAACUAUUGCAAAAUCUGUCUGAUGCUCUACACUUGUCGGUACCUGAUAAAAUUGGAGUUGGUCUUGCUUUGUCUAAAUAUGAAGAUCACGAUACUAGAAAGAAUUUUUGUUUGAGUCAGAUUAAAGUGUUGUGUGCCAAUCCUAUUGCAUUUGAGGUGACUGAGAUAAUUCAACAUAUUCUCGUGUUACUCUUAGUUGAUCUGAAGGCCUCUCUAAGCAUUCAGAUUCACUCUUGCAAAUGUCAUCUCUUGUGCAACUAAGGUGCUUUCCGUGUUAGUUCCUCGUGCAAAAAUAGACUAUAAUUUUUAGUCAAUCUGAAGGCCGAGGCCCAACUAUGUGGAGAUCACUUCUUCAGCGCUGUUAAAAACGCGCCGCACUGGUGGACGAGCAAGAUCUAGGGGCCGCGGCCUGGUGGGGGCAAGUCGUGUGGCGGCAGGGGGAGACUUAGUUCUUAACUUAGAAGAAGCCGGGGAAAGGGAAUAGAUCAAGUUUCUGAAGGAUGUUCAGGACCUCUCUCCUAGUCACAUUCAACCUUUGGGUUCACUUUUGAAUAUCUUUUUGGAAGCUUGUCUCACUAUUUUAAAGGACUAUGCCAUGGAGCCUGAUGAGAAACUUAUACUAAAUGCAGCACAUUUCAUGGUAGCAUUAAGGAAACACAAACAGAGUUGACACCAAUGAAUGGAAUCUAUCCACUGAUACACAUUUCCUAGAUUGAUAACUGCUCUGGAAAUGUUGUGAUUAACCCAGCAGUUGUGUUAGUCUACGACAGUUUGAUCAACUAUCGCGGUACCAAAUUUUCUAUAGAUUGCAAACUUGAGUUUGCUUGCACUGCUUGCUCAUCUUAAUUCUGCUGCUGUGCUGCGCUAUAAGCAGAACUCGGUCCUUUUUUGAGAUCGCUACUUCAGUGUUGAUCAAGUUUCAGAGAUGUCCACUUUUCUUCAGCAGUGAGAUGUUAUAGCUCGUAGGAUUUUUCCCCUAGUACACUUUGAGCUCACACAUAUCUAGGGACUAACCCCGGAGUUGUCUAGGUUCUCGCUUCCAGUAUAGGGGUGUGAUCCUGGCUCCCCCCCCCUUACUUGCUUUCUACGCAAACCAAAAGCACAGAGACAGUGUUGUGCCACUUUUAUUAUACUAGCCUUUAUGGUCCACAAACUCCUGUAAACAACAUCAUUCCUUCAUCCCCUCCUGCUUUGGCUAGCUACUGAUGGAACCUUCUAGUUAUGCAAAGAACCUGGAAAUGCUGCACAUCCUACUAAUGCAAUUCUGUCUUUCGAGCAUCCUGGGAUAAACCUAGAUAUUAGAAUGAGUUAUUUUGAUGAUACAAUCUCAUUUCUAUAUGUUUAAUCAUAUGUGUCCCUGCUUUAGAUUAUGAAGCACAAGUCCGAAUAGUAGCUGCCGAAAAGGAGUUAAGGAGGAGCUAACUUGUAAAGGAGGCAAGAUGAGAGAAGAAAUGCCUAACCACCAUCACCUAACUUCCCACGCAAACAAGGGAUUAUUUUGUUUCCCCUCACAUCCUGUCCUUCACAUAAAGGGCAAUGUUAAGAUUAAGAUAUAGGGCGAGUGUGUUUGUGCACAUGCUUGAUUAUGUGGUUGUAAAUAAUUUGAUUACUUUCACUCCGAUUUGUUGAUUCUGAAGGGUCCUUUCAGUAGUGUUUGUAACAAUGCGAAAAUACUAACGAAGUUAUGUGUUUUUAAAUGGCAUGGCUAUGCCACGGAGCCUGAUGAGAAACUUAUACGAAACGCAACACAUUUGAUGGUAGCAAGGUUGACAAGAAGUGUUGCUAAUGUAACUUGUAGGUAUAGAUAACCUUUGCUUUAUUACUUUCUUGUGUUAUAAAUGUCAAUGAUCUUGUGAAUUGUCAGAACACCACUUUAUAUACCUUGCGUGCUGAUUGAAAAGACCUUUACGUCACAUUUAAGAACCUUUACGUGGUUCUAUAUUAAGCCAACUCAGAAGGUCACUUCAGGGGCUUGGCUAUGCAAGUCGUCUUCUAGAGCUGUCAUUUCAGCAGGAAUCACAAACGGAGUUGACACCGAUGAAUGGAAUCCAUCCACUGAUACACAUCUUCCUCGAUUGAUAACCGCUCUAGAAAUGUUGUGGUUGAGUGUAAGGCUGCGUAGCAAGGAGAACUCAGUCCCGUGUUGAGAGCGCUACUUCAGUGUUGAUAAGUUAUAGAGAUGUCCUCUGAUCUUCAAUAGUGAGGUGUUAUAGCUGUAACCACUACUCGUAGGAUUUUUAUGCUAGUACACUUUGAGCACAAACUUUUGCAGGAACUAACCCAGAGUUGUCCUAAUUCUCACUUCCGGUAUAGGGGUGUGAUCUGGCAUCACCCCUUACUUGCUUUCUACUCAAACAAGUAUGUAUUCUAUCCUUUUUACAUUUUCUUAUCCUUCACAUUGAGGGUAAUGUUUAGAAUAGUUUUGAGGUGUGGGUGUUUGCAUGCAUUCUUCUUUUUGGGGUUGUAAUUUAUCCUAUUUGUGUGUAUAUGUAAGGUUUUCUCUCUAUUAAUUGUCACCAGAAACACUUUUUAAUGGUUUAUUAGUGUAGACUUAGUUUCUCUCAAGGGUUGGAGAACUAAGAUUCCUAAUUUAAAACACCUUACUUAUUAAUAUUUUAAUAUGUGAAAAUGAAUUUGUGAUGCUGAACAAGACAUGCUGCUGAACAAGACCAUGUACAUAUAUUUUCAAUGGUCGUUUGAAAUUUUCUCUAUGGAGUGUGGUGAACGUGGAUUUGUUGAUGUUUUUUCCAUUGAAUGGGAUUUACUUUUUAAAGCAAUAAUACUAGCAAAUAACUGAUAUAAAAACUUUGGUAAAGGCUUGUGUUAAUUUAGUCUAUUGAGUAUGGGUUUGGAAUUCAUAUUGUUUGUAUUUUGUCCUUGUUGCCUUUUUUUAACCUUGUCUAUAUGCACUCCAAACCAGUGAUGGGGAAAUAGAUCAACAACUUUCUAUUAGGAGAAAGCAUAGAGACAGUGUUGUGCCACUUUUUUUUAUGCUAGCAUUUAUAUGCAAGGUCAAGUGAACCUUUUGUCCUAAGCUAGGCCACCUGUCGCAUUCACAAAACGGAGUUUAUGAGGUGAUUCUCUGACAAAUUCUAGGACAUCUAAGUUGAUUUAGGUGGUCAGAUAUAUAUUAUCUAUUUUCAUCUUUGUGAUCUUUAUUUAUGUCUCAUUUCAUAUUUUCAAUUUGUUCGCAUGAGUUUGCUCAUUUUCUAGGCAAGAAUCAAUCCAUCCAGAGCUCAAAUGCAUUUCCAGUUUGCCCCUCCGCUUCAUUAGUAGGUGGACUUUCCUGGAAAUUUGCAUCUCUACUUCUGACCGAAUGAGUGUUGGCACUGGAAUUGGUGCUAUUCCCCACACACCUGAAAUUUGCUCUGACGAGAUGGAUCCUGUUGAAUCCCAGAUUCCUACAAGCUACUAAUGGAACCUUCCAAUUAUGCUAAAGAACCUAGAAAUGCUACACAUCCACUAAUGCAACUGUCUUCCGAGCAUCCCGAGACAAAUGUCUCUGAGCCAUUUAUAACCUUUGGUGAUGCAUUGCGUAUGUACCAUACUAUCUCAUAGAAGGAUAAUAUUUCUGAUGAUGACUAUAUAAUUUCAUAAGCUGGGCUCGGUCUAGAAGUGGGAAUGAUGUCAAUCCUACAUGGAGUUAAGGAGGAGCUAACUUCUAAAGGAGGCAAGAUAAGAGAAGAUAUGCCUAACCCCCAUCACCUAACUUCCCACGCAAACAAGGGAGUAUUUUGUUUCCCCUCACAUUUUUUUUCCUUCACAUAACAGGGCAACGUUAAGUUAAGAUUUGGGGUGAGGGUGUUUGUGUGCAUGCUUGAUUAUGUGGUUGUAAAUAAUUUGAUUACUCUAUCUCCGAUGUGUUGAUUCUGAAGGACCCUUUUUUCAAUAGUGUAUAUAACAAUGCGAAUACUAAAGAAGUUAUGUGUUUUUAAAUGGCAGGAUUAUGCCAUGCCAUGGAGCCUGAUGAGAAACUUAUGCGAAAUGCAACAGAUUUGAUGGUAGCAAGGUUGGCAGGAAGUCUUGCUAAUGUAACUUAUUAGGAACCUUUACGUGGUCCAGUAUCAAGCCAACUCAGAAGGUCACUUCAUGGCUUGGCCAUAGCAAAUGAUCUUCAAGAGCAGUCAUUUUAGCUGGUGACUAAUGGAAUCACAGGCGGCGAUGACACCGAUGAAUGGAAUCCAUCCAUUGACACACAUCUUCCUCGAUUGAUAGCCGCUCUGGAUAUGUUGUGAUACACACAAAGUUUUAAAUAUUAUUCCAUCAUUUGUAUUUGUCUAUGACAGUUAGAUCAGCUAUCGAGGGACCAAAUUUGCUUUUGAUUGCAAACUUGAGUUUGCUCGUACUGCUCAUCUAACUUCUGCUGCUGUUCAUUGCAGGUUGAGUGCAAGGCUGCGCUGCAAGCAGAACUCGGUCCUUUGUUGAGAGCACUAUUUCAGUAUUGAAUGAGAUUUACUUAUUAAAGCAAUAAUACCAGCAAAUAGCUGAGAAAAUUUUUGUCCAAACCAUUUAAUGGGGAAAUAGAUCGAUUACUUUCAAACGGGAGCCCUUUAUCCAGAGCCAGGGCAUGUGUCACAUUCACAACGGGUUUAUGAGAGCUCAAAUGCAUUUCCAGUUCGCCCCUCGGCUUCUUCAGGAGGUGGAUUAUCCAGGCAAUUUGCAUCUCUACUUCUGACCAAAUGAGUGCUAGCAUUUACUCAUCUGGCCUUGUUAGCACUGGAAUUGGUGAUAUGCCUCAUACACCGGAAAUCGACUCUGACGAGAUAGAACCAAUUGGAUCCCAGAAUCCUACAAGUUCGCUCAUCUCAUAUUUCAAUUGGCAAUGGUCCACAAACUCUUGUAAACGACAUCAUUCCUUCAUUCCCUCCUGCUUUAGCUAGCAACUGAUGGAACCUUCCAGUUAUGCAAAAGAACCUGGAAAUGCUGCACAUCCUACUAAUGCAAUUCUGUCUUCCGAGCAUCUUGGGACAAACCUUGAUAUUAGAAUGAGUUAUUUUGAUGAUACAAUCUCAUUUUUAUAUGUUUAGGCAUAUGUGUGCCUGCUUUAGAUUAUGAAGCACAAACCGAAUAGCAGCUGCUGAAAAGGUUACAAACUCAGUCGGAUUCUUAAUCAAGAAUUUGCUGUCCAUCAUAUUAGGAUGAGAGAAGAAAUACCUAAUGCCCAUCACCUAACUUCCCAUGCAAACAAGGGAGUAUUUUGUUUCCCCUCACAUUUUUUCCCUUCACAUAAAUGGCAAUGUUAAGAUUAAGAUUUGGGGUGAGGGUGUUUGUGUGCAUGCUUGAUUAUGUGGUUGUAAAUAAUUUGAUUACUCUAUCUCUGAUGUGUUGAUUCUGAAGGACCCUUUUUUCCUUAGUGUAUAUAACAAUGCGAAUGCUAAAGAAGUUAUGUGUUUUUAACUGGCAGGUCUAUGCCACAGAGCCGGAUGAGAAACUUAUACAAAAUACAGCCCAUUUGUAGUAGCAAGGUUGACAGGAAGUCUUGCUAAUAUAACCUGUAGGUUGAGUGUAAGGCUGCGUAGCAGAACUCGAUCACGUGUUGUGAGCUCUACUUCAGUGUUGAUCAAUUUCUUGAGAUGUCCCCUUUUCAACAGUGAGGAGUUAUGGAGGAGCUAACUUUUUAGGAGACAAGAUGAGAAAAGAAGUAGCUAACCCCCACCACCUAAUUUUCUAUCCAGACAAAGGAGUGUUUUAUCUUGCCUCACAUUUUAUUGUCCAUCACAUAAAGGGAAAUGUUUAGAUUCAUUUUGGAGUGUAGUGUUGUGUGCGCAUUGUGUGUGUUUUGCGUUUAGUGUACGAACUUUGUGUACUUUGUGAUUUUGCGUGCAAUGAGUAUAUGUGUGUUUGUAGUGUA